AAAAAAUGUGUAGUCUUGUUUUAUUUUUUUAUAAAAAAAAGACUUGGACAUGACAUAUACUAAUUCAUGUCUGACUUACUUCUAUAAGUAGCCCCAAUUUAUUUCCACCUUUUUGCAAAUAGUUUAUGACAGAACAUCUCACAAGAGAAAUGAGAUAUGGCAUCUCUAUGAACACAUAAUAUAAAAAAAAAUAGUUUAAUUUUCAUAUUAUCAACUCAUCACACCAACUCAUAAUUUUUUAUUAAUGCAAAAAUUAUUUAUAUUAACAUUACAUAUAAAUUAAAUUCAUAAAAAAUUAUGUUAAGUUCCAACUAAAAGUAUCAAACAAGUUUAAAGGAGUGUAAAAUUAUUUUAUUUUUUAUUAACAACCAAUAAUGAUCCGCCACGUCAAUAAAACAUUAGAUAAUUGUAAUUAAUUUUAUAACUGUAUAAUAUGAUAUGAUUGAUUAAAUGGUUAUAUGAUUGAACGAGAAUGUGAAAUAAAUUUAUACUAUUAGAAGACUACUUUUAAACUCUAUUAUGUCUUCAUUCAUAAUCCUUCCGAUAUAGAAGCCAAUUUUGUUUCUUAAUUUGAAGAUAUCUUCAACUAAUAAUAGUUUUGUGAAAAAUAAUUUAAUUGAAGACACAAUACAUACUCUUGUGGAUAACUCUAUGAAUAAUAUUUUUUAGUAAUCUACCUAUCUUUGAAGAAGUUAAAAGUGUUGUUUUUUUGCAUGAAUCUCGACACUGCUACUGGUCCUGGUGAUUUUGGUACUUAUUUCUUUCAAAAGUAUUGGGAUGUGGUUAGUCAUGAUGUUUUCCAUAUUGUUCUUCAAGUCUUUGUGAAGGAAUGGAUUCUCCCUAAUUAUAAUUCUCAUGAUGUUUAGCUUAUUCCUAAGAUUGUUUAGCCUAGUAAAAUGGAGCAUUAUAGACCCAUAGUUUCGGCCAACUUAAAAUUCAAAAUUAUUACUAAAGCAUUUGCUGACAGACUGGCCACUACCAUGUCAAAAAUCAUUUAUCCUCAUCAAAUGAGCUUCAUUCAAGCUCUCAAGAUUGAUACAAGAAAGACCUUUGAACUACAUAUUGGACUUUCCUUAUCAAAGUUCUUCAGGCGUUUGGUUUCAACAUUAAGAUUUGUCAUUGGAUUAGAACUAAUGUCAAGUCUGCUAAGCUUUCCAUAUUUGUUAAUAGCAAGGUUGCUAGUUUCUUUCCUUGUCAAAGAGGGGUUAGGAAAGGGGGUCAUUUAUCUCAUUUUCUACUUUGCAUGGUUAAAGAGGUUCUUAGCAGAGCUAUAAUGAAAUUGGUUUCUGACGGAUCCCUUUAUUUGAUAAAUGGCCCUAGAGGCAUUUUGUGUUAUUUCCCAUGUUAUGUAUGUUGAUGAUUUUUUUUGCAAUGCUUCUCUUUCUAAUGCUAACAACCUUCAAUAUCUUUUUGAAAGAUGUGCCACUAUCUCAGGUCAAAAGAUUAAUCCUAAUAAAUCUACAGUUUACACUUGAUCAAUUUUCAUUAGACGAUAAAAUAUCUUAGCUACUUAGCUUUUAAAAUCAAAUGUUGAUUGAAUAAAGGCUAAACUCGCAACUUGGAAAUCAACUUUCCUCUCUAUGAAGAGAAUAAUUCAAUUGGUGAAAAGUGUCAUUCAUAACAUGUGGAUUUGUAGCUUCCACAUAUAUUCUUGGUUGACUUUUCUCCUCAAAGAUGUAGACAAAUGAUUUAGGAAUUUCAUUUGUUAUAUAUAUAGCAAUAUUGAGUAUAUAAAAUUGGUUACAAUUGUCUAGCAUAAAAAAUUUCACCCUCUUAAUGAAGGUGAUCUUGCUAUUAGGUCUUUGAGUGAUAUUAAUAAUGUUGUUAUUAUUAAACUCGCUUUGGACUUAGUUACUUCUAGUCAACAUUGGAUAAUUCUUCUUAGAGGUUGGGUAUUUUGAAGACAUGGACAUAUUAGAUGUCAUAUUGAUUUUUUCAUCUAGAUUGCAUUCAAAGUUAAACCAACUACUAUGUACAAGAACAACAAAUGUCAAUUUGGAAAGGAUGAAAUAUUAAUUUAUGAGUCACCACUUGGUUGGACGAUUCUUUGGUUUUUAUUCUUAACAUUGAUGAACGCAUACAAUCUCAUCUUCAUGUCACGAUCAAUGAAUUCAUUUAGGAUGGUAAUUGGAAAGUCCUUUCCGCUCUCUUAUAUACUUACCCUCAACUAGUUAGCUUGUUUCCAAGGCUACUAUACAUAAAUUUGAAUGUGAGGAUCAUCUGAUAAGAGAUUAAACAAUCUUGGAGUUUUAAAUUUAUCAGGUUUUGGAGAUUGUUGCAUAAUUAGAUGCCUACAUAUAAUAAUUUAAUCUCUCAAGAUUGUCAAAUUGCUUUAAGAUGUGAGCUUUAUAAAUGUGAAAUAGAGACUAGCACUCAUCUCUUUUUAUCCUGUUCUUUUGCUACUAAGCUAUUGUUUUGCCUAAGCUCUAUUUUUCACUAUGAAAUUGAUAGUAGUUUGGUACAAAAUAUUCUUGUCAUAUGUGACAAAGGUUGGUCACACUCCUAGUAUAAUCUCUAACUCUAUGCAGUAAUUUCAAAUUCACAAGUAUAUUCAAGUUACAACUCAUCCUCCUAGAGUGCAUAUCAACAAGGAUGUGAUAUGAUGCCCCAAAAAAGUAUUUAAUUAAAUGUAAUACUACUGGAGUUGCAUUUGUAUGUCUUGGUCCUCCUGCCUAUGGAUGUAUACUUAGGGACAAUUAUGUUGCUUCGUUGAA